ACUUUCUGCGAGUGAAUCAAAUAUUACUGAUCUGUCCUGUGAGUGACCAUGACAUGUCUCUAUCUUGCACUUCAAAGAAGAAGAGCUGCAUUUAGGCCUCCCAGUGCUGCAUAUUUAACAUCCGAAGAGCAGACUUGAACUCCAAGGCAAUGGAUUUGAAACCCUGUACGACUAAAGUUAUCAACUUUACCCUGAAGCAAAUAGCCCUGUGGCACGCUGCAAAAUAAAGAAAAAGCACAAGUCAUCAGAAACAUCAUCGUGCUCAGCAAAUUAUCUUCAACAGCAACCCCAUCAAGAGAAUUGUGGAAUAAUCAGCAUGAGGAAUGGAUGUCAGUCUGAGACAGAUGCCUACAUUUCUGGGUAAUAUAGUGCCAUUUUAAUAUCUUGCUUUUAAUUCAGCUCAGAGAACUGCUUGAUGGACAAUGCACUGAUGCUCACCGAUCUGAAUUCAGUUGUUAGUGGUAUGUCAGAUAUUAUUGUUCACAGCCAAUCAUAUAAUAGCUGGAGCGUCAGCUGCUAUUAAGGGUAUUAUGACCUCUUUGAUUCCAGCCCUAAAACGCCUGCUACCGCCUGUAAAUUGUGGCCUCUUGUUUGCUUCUGUAGUCACAAGAACAGAAGGUCUUUCGUUAACUUCUGACCAUUGACAUAUUAAAUGAAGAUGCACAUUUGAGCAACAUCAGUGAUUUCAAUUGACUCAUCAAUUGCCAUUACAUAGCAGUCAUCAUGUUUCACUUUGCUAACAAGCUGAUCUACCAUAUCUGAUGCCAACAAUUCAGUCCUUCAAACAAAUGACAUGUUUGAUGAAAAAAUCUUUUUUAAAUUCAUUAUGCAUUUCAGCUUUUGUCUUUCCUUCUAGUACGGCAUCUGUUGCAGCAGGGAUACAUUCCUUGAUCUUUUCUGAGUCUGCAAUUAUUUUUAUGCUUGUCCAGUAUCCCAGAGAUGUGAAACAAAACUGCCUUGCUAUACUGUUGAGUGCUGAAACUCUGCAUAGAGAUUCAGUUUCAUCUCUUGGAACAGACAGCAUUAAAGCAGUUUUAUCAGUCCACACUUGUGAUAACAAAGCAGCGUGAAGGACAACAGUGAACUAAAGCCCUGGCUUCUCCACCCUCCCCCCCCAAAUAACAAUAAGCUAUCCAUCCUUUGUUUUGUUCUUUAGCUAUCUGGAGGAGCAGUUUAAACUGAAUUACUAACCUGUAUCACUGGCAUUUUUGCAAUGGUGGAGAAUGGUAGAGUUAAGUGUCCUCUGGGGAGUUUUAUGCAAAAUACUGUAUGCAAAGUAAUAGUGAUGGCGUGAUAUAUUUUCCCAUAUAAAACCAACCUAGAAACAAAGAUAAAACUAAAGUAAAGAUGAUCUGUGCGGGACCCUGAUCUCUCUGUGUGUGGGUAAGUCCCGUAUUGCUGGUGAUAUUAUCCUGCUAUGUAUCAGAGGGGGAGCUGUGUUAGUCUGGAUCUGUAAAAAGCAACAGAGGGUCCUGUGGCACCUUUAAGACUAACAGACGUGUUGGAGCAUAAGCUUUCGUGGGUGAAUGCCCACUUCGUCAGACGCAUGUGCCUGUAUUCUCCUGCUAUGACCCUCAAAAUGACUUACAUAGACAUUGCUAGAGUGCUCCCAUGCAGCUCUCAAAUGGACUGCUCUUUGCUCUCGCAUUCACCCACAUCUCUCAUGUCUGGGCUAUAGAAAUAACCGAGGCUGGAAGAAACAACUAAUGUCUUCAGUGCCAUGGAGGAUUCAGUCAGAUUUACUGUUCCUAACUCUGCUCAUUACUGGGAAUGAAUCGAGGAGCCAUUUGGGUUAGACGCUGCCAACUUUGUAGACACGGAGUGUCAAGAAGCUUUUUUGUCAACUUCAUAUCAUUAGUAUAUUUGUCCUCAAGUUCAAAGCAGCGUUGGCCUCAUACUUGUGAUGUUUUCUGCCCUUUGCCCUUUUUGUUGACUCAUCCCUCUUCCCUUUGAGGUCAACAUCAAAAUAGAGAUGUAUGUUUCUUUAGCCUGACCACGGGUGUGACUUUUUAGAUCAGGAAUCCUAUAGUCCAUUUGUGUUCCCAUCUGUCAGCUGGCAUUUGAAGCUAGCUUGUGCCUCUAUUCUUUCAGACAAGUGUGAGAAUCAGUAGGGUUUUUAUAGAGAAGGUUUGAGUCGCUAAAGCAUUUGCUAAGAUACCACCUAUUAAGAGCCCUUGAUGGCACCUUGAAUAGAGAUCAAAAGCAACUGAGUUCACUCCACGACUUUAAUUCCAUCAGUCAGUUUAGGGGAUUGAGAGGGGCACUGUGGUCUAGUGGUUAGAACACAAUGGGAAUGUGAGACUCUGGAUUCCAUUCCUGACUCUGCCACUGAAGGACUUUGGGCAGGGAUUGCACCACUGCAAAAAUGGGUUUUUACCAGCGUUGCUUAAUUGAGUAAUUUACAAUGCAAUGUGGUUGUACCAAAUACAGAUUAUCUUAAUAUAGACCAGGCCUGGAUUCUCUUGGCCCCAGUUCAGCAAAGUGUUUAAGCACAUGCUGAAGUCCAUCCCCGUUCAGCGUAGCAUUUAUGCAAGUGCUUAACUUUAAGCAGAGGCUCAACAUUCUGUGCUUAAAUGCUUUCCUGAAUAUGGAUGGCCUGCUGAACUGGGAGUCUUUAUGUCUCAGUUUAUUCCUUUGUACAAUGACAAUGAUAACACAGCUGUAGGGAGGCUUAAUUAAUUAACGAUUGUAAAAAUCCUUGAGAUCCUUACCUAAAUGGUACUAUCCAGUAAAAAGUAUUGCUGUUAUUAUUAUUAUUAUUAUUACGCAAUCAUUCAUGUUUUAUACUUUCCGAUACUGCCAAUAAUAGUGUAUGUAUAUAAUGUAUGUUUCGCAGCAGGGAGCGUAUUAAAGGCAGUGCGGAAAAAUCUUAGCCUUGAAAAGAUUAUCUCUGCAUUAAGCUGGCCAUUCUCUUAAGCAUUUCUGAGGACCAUCAGAAGGGGAAAUUUAUUUUUCAGAAGUGUUUCUCUUUUAAAGGCUUGUUACACUAUGCUGCGACCCCUUUGACAUUUUGGGGAAGCAAUUUCCCUGACAUGGUAAUUUUGUUAUUGUUAUUUGACAUUGUAUUGUGUGCUAAUUGGAGGCACUGACCAUACAGCUCUUCCCAGAAGCCUAACAUCAUAAACAUGAAAGCGAAAUGAAUGACAGUGCCUAGUUCUGAGUUUAUAAGCACUGCGAGCUGGUUCGGAUGUGCUAAAUCUGAGAAUGGGAACACUUCCCCUUAUAUUUCGAUGGUGUUCAAUAGCAUAACAUCCGGAGGAGCAGAAUAUCCCUCCAGGGCAAGUGCUAACAAAUGUUCUUGUUUGUUUAUGGAACCCGAAAAGCCCCUUCAUUCUGAGGCAUGCCAGAGGGUCGUGUCAUGCCCACCAACUGUAAGCAAAACUUGACUCAUUGGAGUCAAGGACACCAUAUGCCCCUAGCUUUGCAGUGCAGUCUGCACCUUAGCUGACCUGCAGUCCCUACCCAGACUCAACACCCCUUGGCU